GUAUUGAUUUAACGUAUCUUCUCCAACAGAUCAGGAUUAACUGGACAGAAUGGCUUCUCCCAGUGUUUAAAUAGAAAUGUUUUGUUUGACACAGAGGUGAUGAAGAAACCCACUGUCACAUUGGUUAGAUUUUCAGACUCAUGCAUUAAGACUGAAUGACAUAUCUGAAUUCUCUUUUAAAGAGCUUCGUGGUGCUAAUCUGAGGAGUAAUCCUACAUUGAGAGGAGGAUGUGUUACACAUUUGCUCACGUGCUGUAGUAAAUAAUGAUAGCUGGCUUUAGUUGCUGUUAUGCUGGUUUAAGACCACUUUCUCACCAGUUUGCCAGGCUUGGAUACGACCUUCUAAUCACAAGAUGUACGACCUUCAUUUCACUGCCUGUGUUCCCUUCUGUAGAGGAGCUGUUAGGUCAGGGCUUGAAGUGAUGAUGGAACACCUGGUGAAAGGCUGUGGCUGGCCCAGGGGGCACAGGCAAAGUGUUUUCACCUGUGCUCCCCAGCUGGCCAGAAGGGGCAGACCCAGGGGGAAAACACCUUGAGCUCAUUUAAGGGCCAGCCAUGGAAGGGAGAGCAUCUCUUGGAGCUGGGGCUUCUUGAGGAGGAAUGCUGCAUGGCCACAGAGCUCCUUUACCAAUUGGGAAUUGAAUGCUCUCUGCUGAUGUAAGACCAGGACAUCUUGUAACUAUGGUGGAGCUGGCUGCUCCCCUAUAGGACAGCCACUGUCGCUCCCACCGGGGAAAAGAUCAGCACGGAAAAUAAGGAGAUGUCACACUCAGUGGGGAGUGGACAUUCUUCUGUGAAUUCGCCACCCCCACGUGAACUGACUGCAAAGGAGGAGGAAUUCAAGGACAGAAAUGUUCCUCACCUGGAAUCGCGGAUCUGCUGGGUUAAGUCUGAAUUUUGAUAUCUACAUCUUCAGACACAUUGACCUGUGGGCUCAGCUGUGACAGAAAACUGAGCCCCGGUGAUGUGCUGCCCAAGUCUCCAAUAACACAUCAUGCCUGCAGUACCUGCUGAAAACCCACCAAAACGCCAGAGAGAAGAGUCAGAGGGAAUUCAACCUCAUCACAGUCCUAGCUGAGAAACAAGCAGGGUGCUCUCAUCUGCAGCGAGAAGACAAUCCUGCCUGUCCCAGCACACAGCUCUGUGCACAUAUGGGGAGAACACUAAGUAAAGCCAUGAACAAGGCUUCCCCGAGCAGUCCUGGUGGCUCUGUGGCUAUGCUGCUGGAAGUUUGAUGACAGUUGUCAGUGACCGUCUUGCCUGAGUGGGCCAGCUGAAGUGCAGGGAGGACACGCUGAGGGCAUUGGCAAGGCAGCACAGAACUGAAUCUGACCUGACUGUCCACAUGGAGUCUGGCACCAGCACCGACUUUCAGCCUCCCCCAGCCUCUGUCUCAGUGAAAUAAGAGUGAGAUCUUGGCUCCUUUCUUCCCCAGCAUGCACCCUGGCAAUGGAGAAAGUUGAAGCACUAACUCGUGUCGUGGGGAAUGAGCAGCGGUAGAAGACCACAGGGACCCGGAGCCACGCAGACACUGAUGGAUUGUGCAAGUCAGGAGAGUAAAGGAGCAGUGCUCUCCAUAUUUAAAGACCUGGUGGAGCUCCUUUGGACCAGCUGCUCUCUGGUGCUGGGGGCUGAUGCCUACUAGAAAAAAAGUGGAAUUGAAGAAAGUUAAAAUACAGUAGAGGAGGAGAGAGUGUCUUCCAUAGCACAAUGGUCACAGUGCUGAGUCCCUGCCCUCAAGAGAUGAUGGAGGCCACCAGGAUGAAACAAGUAAGAGAGCUGAACAAAUGCCUUGAACACCACUGUCCAGUCAGUUUGAAAAGCGAAGCAUUCUCCUUGGCAUAACACAUCAUUCAACAAGUGGUUCAACCUCUUGUCAGCUUCAGCAUGCCAGAUGGCUUCUCAAUUCCUGAGAUCGUGGUCCUCCUUCAUUGGAUGCAUUAGAAGAAAAGCCAUAUCUGCAGGCUUAGUGCCUGGAAAUCAGAGCCUCUGUGAAUCUGUGUCCAGAAGCAGGACUUUGUGGACAUCUGUUGGUGGCUGCUUCCAGCAUAAACAGGGCCUGGUACCAAGAGUAACUGCUGAAGUUUCCAGUGCUACAGCAACGAAAGAGCAAAAUUGGGUGCCUGGAGGAAAAGUAAUCUGGUUCAGCUGAGCUCUGUCUGAAAAGCAGGUUACCAUAGCUUAAUGAAUUAUCCUGAGUUUGCAGAACAACGUGUUCUCUUACCUGAAAGGUAAGAUAAAGCUACGUUGAAAAAAAGAAAAAGAGUAUUUCAUUAAUGUUUAAAACAGCUAACCUGGUGUUUGCCACAUCUUGAGUGCAUGCCUGGCUGCAGUCAGUGGCUGUCUGCCUGGUGCUCAUCAAGAGAUGGCAGUGUUUCUGUGCAGAGGCAGUGUUUCUAUUGCUGGAUCUUCAUUUACCACAGUGUCUGACAGAAGGGCGUUCUGACUACACAGAAAUAUACUUUUUAUAAUCACCUCUAAGAAUAUUAUGACAGACGAUUAAUAAUCUGACAGCAAAGUAACUAUUUUUAAUGGCUUAAACUGAACACUUUAUUUCAUCUUUGAACCAAUUCUCACUGUAAUCCCAUUACUGCAAUAAAAGUUUGGGUAGCAGGAUCAUACUGGCCUUGCUCUGCCUGCAGUGCCUUGAUGAGACCUGUGCUGGCAGGAGCAAUAUGUUCAGCACUGACACAAAAGCCUCAGGGUAGAAGUGACCUGCUGGAAGUCUUCAGAAUUUAUUUCAGGUGGUUCAAAAUGUACUUUUAC